CGUAACGCGUAUAGAAUCUGCCUUUCACAGGGAGAUAGCCCGAAGAAAUUCGGAUUAAUACCCCAUAGUUUUGUAAUCUCGCAUGAGAUAUCAAAUAAAACUCCGGUGGUGAAAGAUGGGCAUGCGUGUCAUUAGAUAGUUGGUGAGGUAACGGCUCACCAAGUCUUCGAUGACUACGGGGUCUUAAAGGAUGGUCCCGCACACUGGUACUGAGACACGGACCGGCCUCAUACGGGAGGCAGCAGUGAGGACUCUUGAGCACUGGAGGCCACUCUGCCCCAGCCAUCCCGCGUGAAGGAAGACGGCCUUAUGGGUUGUAAACUUCUUUUAUGUACCAAGAAAGAUAAGUACGUGUAUUUAUUUGACGGUACUGUAUGAAUAAGCAUCGGCUAACUCCGUGCCAGCAGCCGCGGUAAUACGGAGGGUGCAAGCGUUAUCCGGAUUCAUUGGGUUUAAAGGGUACUUAGGCGGAUAGAUAAGUCAGUGGUGAAAGCCCGAAGCUCAACUUCGGAACUGCCAUUGAUACUGGAGUUCUUGAGCAUAGUUGAGGUAGGCGGAAUGUGUCAUGUAGCGGUGAAAUGCUUAGAUAUGACACAGAACACCGAUUGCGAAGGCAGCUUACUAAACUGUUAUUGACGCUGAGGCACGAAAGCGUGGGGAGCGAACAGGAUUAGAUACCCUGGUAGUCCACGCCGUAAACGAUGAUUACUGGUUGUGCGCGAUACACAGUGCGCGACUGAGGGAAACCAUUAAGUAAUCCACCUGGGGAGUACGUUCGCAAGAAUGAAACUCAAAGGAAUUGACGGGGGCCCGCACAAGCGGAGGAACAUGUGGUUUAAUUCGAUGAUACGCGAGGAACCUUACCUGGGCUUAAAUGUAGAGUGCAUUAUUUGGAAACAGAUAUUUCCUUCGGGACUCUUUACAAGGUGCUGCAUGGUUGUCGUCAGCUCGUGCCGUGAGGUGUCGGGUUAAGUCCCAUAACGAGCGCAACCCCUACUGUUAUUUGCCAUCGGGUCAUGCCGCGGAAUCUCAAGGCACUGACGGUGUAAACCGCGCGCAAGCUGGGGAUGACGUCAAAUCAGCACGGCCCUUAUGUCCAGGGCUACACACGUGUUACAAUGGUAGAUACAAAGAGCAGCUAUGUGGUGACACAGUGCUAAUCUCAAAAGUCUAUCUUAGUUCGGAUCGGAGUCUGCAACUCGACUUCGUGAAGUUGGAUUCGCUAGUAAUCGUAUAUCAGCCAUGAUACGGUGAAUACGUUCCCGGGCCUUGUACACUCCGCCCGUCAAGCCAUGGAAGUUGGGGGUACCUGAAGUCCGUAACCGUAAGGAGCGGCCCAGGGUAACACUAGUAACUAGGGCU
rnacentral:rRNA from 1 species